UACGUAGGGGCGAGCGUUGUCCGGAAUUACUGGGCGUAAAGGGUGCGUAGGUGGUUUCUUAAGUCAGAGGUGAAAGGCUACGGCUCAACCGUAGUAAGCCUUUGAAACUGGGAAACUUGAGUGCAGGAGAGGAGAGUGGAAUUCCUAGCGUAGCGGUGAAAUGCGUAGAUAUUAGGAGGAACACCAGUUGCGAAGGCGGCUCUCUGGACUGUAACUGACACUGAGGCACGAAAGCGUGGGGAGCAAACAGGAUUAGAUACCCUGGUAGUCCCUGAG
rnacentral:rRNA from 1 species